rnacentral:rRNA from 1 species
UACGUAGGUGGCAAGCGUUGUCCGGAUUUACUGGGCGUAAAGAGCGCGCAGGCGGUCGUUUAAGUCGAAUGUGAAAGCCCCCGGCUCAACUGGGGAGGGUCAUUCGAUACUGAUCGACUUGAAGGCAGGAGAGGGAAGUGGAAUUCCGGGUGUAGUGGUGAAAUGCGUAGAUAUCCGGAGGAACACCAGUGGCGAAGGCGACUUCCUGGCCUGUUCUUGACGCUGAGGCGCGAAAGCGUGGGGAGCAAACAGG